ensembl:lncRNA
GCAUUGUCAUGCCAACCGACUAUGCCGAGCCAUGGUGGUAAAGGCACUUACCACACAAACCUGUUCGUUGGAUGUAGAACGCAACAAUACAUUCACCUUUCUCAUUUGUAAAAGCUAUCUACCACUAUCAAGAAGGACUGCAUUUUGAUAGUGUGCAUGCAUCUUCAUGCAAUGUGUGCGUAUGUCAGUGUGUAUGAAUGCGUAACGUACUAUGAGAACAGUUUUACUGUGCGUGUGUAUUCUAGAGCGGCUUCCACUGUCGUCUGUGUGGGAGGCAUAGUAACAGCGAGCGCCAGUGGCAGCAGCACAUCUCCUCAGAGAAACACAAGGACCGUGUAUCAGCUGCGAGGGAGAGGACGAGAGCCUCACGUGGACAUACCGCUUCCCCGGACUCCGCCUCGCCCUUUGUCCCAGGCUGGAGAGUGGCUGUCCUGAGGGGGUGAGCUGUGACUACGCCCACAGUGUUGAGGAGCUGGUGGAAUGGCAGGAGAGGCGAGAAUUCCUGCGGCGGAAGCUGGCCAAGGCCCGUAAAGACAUGCUCAUCAGGCCAGACGAGUUUGACUUUGGGAAGUACAACUUUCUCCUGCAGGACUGAAGCCUCUGUCCCUUAUGUGAGACACUUGCACCUGUAAAUAGACAGCAGUCGUCUGUUUUGUUGAAAACCCUGGGGUGUAUUUUCUUUAUUAGUUAACAGUUAAUACAGUUUAUACCUGUUAGAGCUGGUUAGGACUGCAAGUUCCUUAUUUGUCCAAUAUUUUCAAAAGGGCUUAACAAAUGAGAUCUUGGGUCCGAAUUGAGCGGGGGGAAAAGUCAUUUAGCACUGCCAUUUAACAAAACAGUACUGACCAAAUAUCUCCAUGAAUAGUCUGUUUAAUCUGUAUACAUCUUUUUGGGGGAUAUUAAGAAUUAAUUUAUGCUUCUGUUCUGUACAACCGUCAAACUUUCACAACUGUUCUUCCAUCAAAUGAAAACCGAUUUUGCUGGAAGGCAAACGUUAUUCACUUUCACUUUAUUCAUGUGUCUUAUGCCAAUUUAAAGAUGCAAUGUUUAACUUUUUGGAUGACCUGAGAAAAUUCACAUAGAAAUGUUAGUUUCUAUGUGGUCAUUCUAGAGUGGUCAUUCUCAUUGAAAGAUCUGUUCUAUGUGCCCUAUUUCUAUGCUUAAUGUUCUUAAGUUUUAUUUUUGAUUCUUUUGUUUUUGUACACCAGCUUCAAACAGCUGAAAAUACUAUAUUUUUGGUUAUUGGAAAGAUAUUUCACAACAAUUUAGAUGGUACAAUGAUUCUCUACAUUGCUUGUUUUGUCACCAACUUAGGCAAAGUAUUAGAAGUUUAGCAACCAGGAAAUGGUGAGUGAUUUCUGCAUAUUGCAUCUUAAAAGCAUUUGUUGCUGCCAUUGUAGACAGACAAAACGUUACAGAAUAUGAUCACACUAAUACAGGGGUACUGCAGGGUGUUCAUGGAAAUAUAAAAAUAUUAUUUUAUUUCAAUGUUUUUAUCAAUAUUGCUAGCAACAAGUUUCAAUUAAUUUUAAAUUAGACAUACAAUAUAAAAGAGGAUAAUAUCUUAUUUCUAAUGAUGUCAACUUUAUUUCUCAACUCCUAAUAUUGAGAAAAUUACACUCAUUGGAGCUAAUUGCACUCACCGGACAGUGUUUCUCCUAUAUUCAUUUAGCAGCGGUGAGUCACCGCUGCUAAAUUGUUGCCACUGCUCCAAAAAAUAUGAUUAAACAUUUUCGGGCUGGUUAAACAUUCAGUAUAAACAUAAACUAAACCAGAUAUAAAGUAUGUAGAAAAGAUAUAAUGGAGCUAUAUAUCUUAAAUAAGAUUCAAUUCUCAAAUUCAAAACAUUUUAUGGAAUUUGAUUUGAAUUCACUCCAAUA